GCUCCCAUAGUCUAGCCCGGUCAAGGAUGCGGGCCUUUCGAGCCUGAGACGGGGGUUCGAAUCCCCCUGGGAGCA
rnacentral:tRNA from 1 species